rnacentral:misc_RNA from 1 species
GAUGAAGAACGUAGCGAAAUGCGAUAAGUAAUGUGAAUUGCAGAAUUCAGUGAAUCAUCGAAUCUUUGAACGCACCUUGCGCCCUUUGGCUAUUCCGAAGGGCAUGCCUGUUUGAGUAUCGUGAACACCUCAACUCUCAUGGUCUGCCAUGAUGAGCUUGGACUUUGGGGGUCUUGCCGGCCUAGCGUCGGCUCCUCUCAAAUGGAUCAGCUUGCCAGUGUUUGGUGGCAUCACAGGUGUGAUAACUAUCUACGCUUGUGGUUUUCUACCAUGUAACCUUCAGCGAUGGAGGUUUGCUGGGGCUCACAGACGUCUCUCCUUGGAGGACAGCUUUUUGAACGUUUGAUCUCAAAUCAGGUAGGACUACCCGCUGAACUUAAGCAUAUCAGUAAGCGGAGGA